GACAGAGGGUGCAAGCGUUGUUCGGAAUUACUGGGCGUAAAGCGCGUGUAGGCGGCUAUGCAAGUCGGAUGUGAAAGCCCUCGGCUCAACCGGGGAAGUGCACCCGAAACUGCAAAGCUAGAGUCUCGGAGAGGAUCGUGGAAUUCUCGGUGUAGAGGUGAAAUUCGUAGAUAUCGAGAGGAACACCGGUGGCGAAGGCGGCGAUCUGGACGGUGACUGACGCUGAGACGCGAAAGCGUGGGGAGCAAACAGG
rnacentral:rRNA from 1 species